rnacentral:rRNA from 1 species
UACGUAGGGUGCAAGCGUUGUCCGGAAUUAUUGGGCGUAAAGAGCUUGUAGGCGGUUUGUCGCGUCUGCUGUGAAAUUUCGGGGCUCAACCCCGAACUUGCAGUGGGUACGGGCAGACUAGAGUGUGGUAGGGGAGACUGGAAUUCCUGGUGUAGCGGUGGAAUGCGCAGAUAUCAGGAGGAACACCGGUGGCGAAGGCGGGUCUCUGGGCCGACAUGACGCUGAGGAGCGAAAGCGUGGGGAGCGAACAGG